UGACGACGGGUGGAGGGCGGCAGCCCGGGAACGGCCGCAGGGCACGCAGGACAGGGACUGGGCAGGACGCGAGGGUGGCCUCGGCUCCAGGAGUGGCACGGGGUAAGGAGGCGGGGAGACUGGGGAGAUCCGGAGGGCUGCCCACACGAUGCCACCCAGACCCCGGUGUGCCCAUCUGCAGAGUACAGCGAGGGUCCCCAAAGCUCGCCCGUCUGGACAUCCCAGAUCUGGGAGCGAGGAACGAGGAAGGGCAGGAAGGAACGUCGGAGAGAGACGAGCCCAAACCACACUAACUGCUGCUGCGGAGAAGCGCGCAGGACAGCGACCCUGGAGGCGGCGGGAGGCAGCAUUCACGGCUGGGCUGGGCCCUGCGCACCGGAGAGGUCCCACAGACGCGCUCCCGCGGGCCGGGGCCCGAGCGAACGUCAGAAGCAAAGCGCAAGAAAAAUAAAAUUCCUCCAGUCUGGAGUUUUUUUUUCCCUUUGGGGCUCUGAGCAAGGAACAUCUGGAUUUUGGAGGUGAACUAGAGGCUGAGGUCACUGCCAGCGCUGAUCCUCGGGUGACCUCCUUCUCAGAACCUCUGUACUGUGAGAACUGGACAAAGGAGUCUUGGCGCUGCUAGAGGCAAGAGGAGUUGCCAGGGACACGGAGGAGAGAUGACGCAGAGCCACUGCUAAAGCAAGUCAGUGUCCGAGAACCGAAAACCAAAAUUAAAACAGGACAGUGCUGCGACACAAAACAGGGGGGCCAAAGAUGUACCCUGACAGUGGCCCGUAGAGCAGGACAUAUCCUUGGGCUCUCACCUCUCUUAAAAGGCCACCCAGGUGAGCAUACCCCAUCUUUCCUGGGGACCUGGGUGCUUGGCUGGGUGAGAAGAGGGUGGGGAGAAGAUGGGGCCUGAGCAAAUCACUUUCUCUCUGGGCCUCAGUUUCCCCAUCUGAGACCCAUCCAACUCCAGGGAGUCGUGUUUCUAAGUUGUAAUGUCACACUGUAGAAACCUCUGCCCAUAGUUCUGCCUCUCUGUGGGUGUGACCAGCCUCACAUCAUUCCCCACUCCGGGGACUCUUCCUGUGGGAGGGGGCCCUCCAAUGCCCUCAUCUGCUCACACCACACUCGGCCACCUCACCAACAGGGCUGGCACAGCAAAGAGAACACCAACCAAAGCAGCCCCAGCCCACCUGGACUGCAGGGCUUGGGGACACCCUGUCAUCCCCACCUCCGAGGGCCUCAACACAGCCCCCAGGGCCUCCACCUGAAGGGCUGGCUCCCACACCCGGGAAGUGUGAGGCAUGGGGUGAGGGGACGCAAAGUGAUGACAUGUUUAAAGGCACAGAGAUUACGUCCAAAAAAAUGAAGUGUGAGAUUGUAAAUGUGUGUCUGGAAGGCGCUGUAGGCCUUAUAGAGUUCCAUUCUGUGGGGAGUGGAGGGUUCUCUUCUGGCCACCCAGAAAGUCCCAAGGAAAGAGGCAGCCAGCUGAGGUUCGAGCCAGUGACUGGCAGGGCUAUAGUUGGCAAAAAGGGGACUGGAGAGAUGAGCACCAUCUGUGGAAGGGGAAGGAAGACUGGGGUUCUGCUUUCACUGGGGGCUGUCAGCUCAUAGCAGCUUGGGGGGCUAUCCCAGCCAGACUGAGUGGCCCUAUGGCACCUUAUUUUGAGUGCUAAGCCUCCCCCAGGUAUCAGCAGGGGAGGAAUUCUGAGAGACCCCCUCAGUCCAGGGAGUGAGAACCAAGGUCUAUAGGAGGACCAGACUUUGCCGGGCCAUGCAACAUGGGAGUGGAGUGGAGGGGGGGUUGGGGGGGGGGCAGUGCCCGGUGCAGAGUGACGUUGGGAAUACCCCUGAGGGUCUGGGAGAGGCUGCCCUUGCCCCCUGUGCCUGGGGUGACGGCAGCAACUGAGGUGGUGCCACCAGCUACCCCCACCCCAGCUGGACCUGGGGACACAGGUUCCCUCACCCAGGAGUCUCCCAGGCCUCAUACCUCCCCAUCAGGUCUGACCUCCGCACCCCGCCCCUGCCUGCAUUCCCAUCUCCUCCAUGGCCAAGGUGGCCCUACUGCCUACAGACCUCAAGGCGCCCAUGCAGUCUGGACCUCUUUGGAGGGGGCCAGGUGCUUCCCACCUCUGUGUCCACAACUCCUGCCUCCCCCACACCCAGCCCCAGCCCACCUUUGCAGCUUCUGGUCACCUGCAACACCUCCCCUGGCCAUCCCACGUUGGCCUCGCCUCACUGUGUCUGCCCAGCGUGGAGAAGGAAGGUAAAUGAACGUGGAACAGCCACUGACAGACCAGCACCUGGUUCAGUUGACCCUGGAUGGUAAACUGAGGCCUAGAGAACUCGGCAAAUUAGCUCAAAGGACACAAAGCAAGUGGGGGUGGGGCAGUGGCAAACACAUGAUCCCAGUCUCCUGCUUUCACCAGCUAAGCCACCUCCAGAUAAUCUUGCUGGCCUCAGCACAGCAUGAGGAGGGUGUGUUAUCCAAGGAGGUCAGAGCUUUUUCUUCCAGCAUAGCAUGCUCUGGCCAAUGGCAAAGUGGCCCCGUGUUUCUGUUAGAGAAACCUCGGCUUGGGGCUUUUUUUAUUCCCCCUGCCAUGGCCACCCAAGCCUGCUUGGCACAGGCCAGCUUUCUGGGAAAGGACAUCCAGAGUAUGAGGCAGGACAAGCUGACAGUAAUAAGGGGACUGCAGCCACCCUGUGCAGCAUGAGGGAAAGCAAGGAGUGGUCCAGGCUGGGCUGCGUCUCUACCCUGUACAUGUUCCUAACCAGAGUUAUGGCAGUGCUCUCCAAGGGGCUGAUGGGCACAGCUCCAAGAGGACCUCAUCAGCGCCAGGGAGGGGUGUGUACUGUGAAACAAAGCCCACCCCGAGACAGGAAAGACAAGGGUGGUAGGUUGUGACGGCUCACUGGCACUUUUGCAAACAUCCAACUUCAUGGAGACCUUGGCGCUGUGAACUGCCAGAAUCAUGCACAGCAGUGGGUCCUGAGAAUGUUGACACCCAGCCAUGCAGAGGGGGCUACCCAGGUCUCAGCAGAACAGCAAACUCCUGCAAAGCUGGGGGUGCCCACCAUGACCCCAAGCUGGGCAAGGGCAGCCCACCUCCCUGGGCCAGGCCCACCCGACAUCUUUAAGGCCUAGUUUGGAUGCAGAAGCAAGGCCUCAAUUGUCAAUUCAGUGGCUUUCUCAGUCGCCUCCUCCCAGGGCCAGAGACAGAGACCGAACGCACAGAGGACCGCCUUCCCAGCUGAUGCCCACCCACUCCUCAGCCACUCAGGCCUCAGUUGCCCAGCCAACAGCAUGAUGAGAAUGAGGUUUGGGGAGGAUCUAGGAGGGCCAGACUGGGGAGCUUGCGCUGCCCAGAUGCUGCCCAGAACAGGGAGUGGUUCUCUCAGGUGGUCUGGAAGGAGUGGGUGAGCAGCUGCUUAUCAGAAAACAUUGCCUAAUUGGGGCCUAAUUGGGAAGGUUUAUGGGGCCAGUAAGGGGGGCUCCUUGGGGAGAUGGUGAAAGCCACUCAUGAGUCAUUUGAAACUGAGCCGGACAAAGAGCUCAAGGAGAAAUGAUCCCACCCAGCCUGCUAGCCAUGGGUAGAAUGAGCUCAUGGGCUCUGGGAUGCACAUGCGUGCAUGUGUGUGCACGUGUGUGUGUGUGAGAGAGAGAGAGAGAGAGGGAGGGGAGGGGAGGAGAAGAGAGGAGCUGGUACUCAUACAGCUGGUACUCAGAAGCUGAGCCCUGCAGCGCCUCCACUGCGGGCCCCAUCACUGCAUGGCCAGACUGCCCCCUGCAGGUCGGGGAGGGAAGGGCCCAGUAUCUCAGCCAGCGUCCUGGCUUAGCAUCCUCACCCAGCAUCCAGGCCAGCAUAAACAUACCUUCUCUGCGGUGCCCAGCACAGGACCUGUCCUGGGACAGAUGCCAAAUGGACAUGGAGCUUAUUCUUCACAGUGGGACACCAUCUGUUCACACCACUUCAUCCUCUGUGAGAUGUGUGUUGGAGACUUGGAUGCAUAAUAAACAUUUUAACAUGUUUAUUCAAAUGUUUAAAACUUGUUUUGAAAGAAAUGUAGAUUCACAUGCAAUUGUGAAAAAUAAUAAGAGACUCUUUGUACCCUUCACCGGGCUUCCCCUAAUGGACAAUAUGACAGCCAGGAAACUGACAUUGACAAAAUGCAUCGACCUUGCUACAUGAACUCAUCUGUGUGCAUGUGUGUUUAGUUCUAUGCACUUUUAUCACACAUGGAAGUUCAUUUGUCCACCACAGUCACACUGAACAUCUCCAUCACUCAUGGAGAUCCCUUAUGCUGCCCUGUUAUAGCCACACACCCCUGGCGUCUACUAAUCCACUCUCCAUCUAUCAUUUUGUCAGUUCAGGAAUGCUAUAUACACGGAAUCAUACAGUAACCUUUGGGGAUUGGCUUUUGCACUAAGCAAAAUUUCCUGGAGAUCCAUUCAGGUUGUCAAGUGUAUCAACAGC